UCUAGUAUAGCAUUAUACCGUGAAACUGCGAAUGGCUCAUUAAAUCAGUUAUCGUUUAUUUGAUAGUACCUUACUACUUGGAUAACCGUGGUAAUUCUAGAGCUAAUACAUGCUGAAAACCCCGACUUCGGGAGGGGUGUAUUUAUUAGAUAAAAAACCAAUGCCCUUCGGGGCUCCUUGGUGAUUCAUAAUAACUUAACAGAUCGCAUGGCCUUGCGCCGGCGACGGUUCAUUCAAAUUUCUGCCCUAUCAACUUUCGAUGGUAAGGUAUUGGCUUACCAUGGUUUCAACGGGUAACGGGGAAUUAGGGUUCGAUUCCGGAGAGGGAGCCUGAGAAACGGCUACCACAUCCAAGGAAGGCAGCAGGCGCGCAAAUUACCCAAUCCCGACACGGGGAGGUAGUGACAAUAAAUACUGAUACAGGGCUCUUUUGGGUCUUGUAAUCGGAAUGAGUACAAUUUAAACCUCUUAACGAGGAACAAUUGGAGGGCAAGUCUGGUGCCAGCAGCCGCGGUAAUUCCAGCUCCAAUAGCGUAUAUUAAAGUUGUUGCAGUUAAAAAGCUCGUAGUUGAAUCUUGGGCCUGGCUGGCCGGUCCGCCUCACCGCGUGCACUGGUCCGGCCGGGCCUUUCCUUCUGGAGAGCCCCAUGCCCUUCACUGGGUGUGCGGGGGAACCAGGACUUUUACUUUGAAAAAAUUAGAGUGUUCAAAGCAGGCCUUUGCUCGAAUACGUUAGCAUGGAAUAAUAGAAUAGGACGUGCGAUCCUAUUUUGUUGGUUUCUAGGACCGCCGUAAUGAUUAAUAGGGACAGUCGGGGGCAUCAGUAUUCAAUUGUCAGAGGUGAAAUUCUUGGAUUUAUUGAAGACUAACUACUGCGAAAGCAUUUGCCAAGGAUGUUUUCAUUAAUCAGUGAACGAAAGUUAGGGGAUCGAAGACGAUCAGAUACCGUCGUAGUCUUAACCGUAAACUAUGCCGACUAGGGAUCGGGCGGUGUUCCUUUGUUGACCCGCUCGGCACCUUUCGAGAAAUCAAAGUUUUUGGGU
rnacentral:rRNA from 1 species